ACCCCAAACCGACACAGGUGGUCAGGUAGAGAAUACCAAGGCGCUUGAGAGAACUCGGGUGAAGGAACUAGGCAAAAUGGUGCCGUAACUUCGGGAGAAGGCACGCUGGCAUGUAGGUGAAGUCCCUCGCGGAUGGAGCUGAAGCCAGUCGAAGAUACCAGCUGGCUGCAACUGUUUAAUAAAAACACAGCACUGUGCAAACACGAAAGUGGACGUAUACGGUGUGACGCCUGCCCGGUGCUGGAAGGUUAAUUG
rnacentral:rRNA from 1 species